GAGAGAGAGAGAGAGAGAGAGAGAGAGAGAGAGAGAGACGCUUAAUUUGUGCUUCCCAAAAAGUAGUCGAAAAAAGGAGGAAGAUUAAGUUAGAAUGUAAUAUUACAGAAAGGUUAGAUGUUCCCGUCAUUUUAAGGUGCGCGAGUGUUGCAUUACAAAGUACACAACAAUUAACAGGUAGUGGUGGAGGAGGUGCUGCGCGUUAGCUGUCUACGGGUGCUCCUGGUGGUGGUGGUGGUGUGUGCAGCGGCCUGGGCUACCGUGCUACUAGGAAAACUCUUAAUUUGGUACAAGAGAUGCGUGGAAAAAGAGAAAAAAGAAAACUAGUGAAGUAUUUUGACAUAGAAAAAUGUUAAUCUUAAAAAAAAAAAAACAAUAUUGCGUUUUCAUCACUCAGGCGUAUACCAGGUUAGAGUCUUUUAAAAUAGUACAUGGCAUGAGCGAACCAGAACGGGGCAGCGUAGCAAGGCGUCGUUCUCAAGGCGGCGGGAUCGGUGGCCUGAAGCUCCCGCCACGACCAGGUAUGGAUGGAUGGCUCUCCGAUGUGUGUGUGUGUGAUGCAUUGCUGAUGGGCGCCUCGCUGUGGCCUCUGCUUGCAGCUAGCGAAGCCUUGACUGAGGCCAUGCUUUUGAAUUGGAUGUCCAUAUCAAGAGGCGUUUUACUUAUUCAAUUAUUAUUUAUUCACUUGUUUUGUAGUCUGGUUGCGAGUGACGUCUGUCCGGAGAGCCUUCAGGGGCGUCUCUCGUUGAGUAAGCAAUGGUGUUCUGUGCUGGGAACUACUGACAGUCCGUCGCGGUGUAUCCUCCUGCAGACGUGCCUUCCUCUUCGUGGGUUUCUAUUUGAAUUCCGUUCAAGUAAAUUCUAGCCUCGAAGAUUCUCCCAUGAAGAUUUCACUCGUAAUAAUUUCUUUGUUAGUAAACUGUCUCAGUCUAACCUAAUUUCAUUCAUAAUAGGAGGGGGAGAAACAAUUUGAGGGAGGUGGAAUGUCUGAGGGCAGAAUCUAACCAUAGGAGAGAGGAGCUUAGUGUUACGGUUUGCUGUGGUGUACAUAUUUGCUUAGGUUUGGUGAACAGAACCUCGCACCACACAACACGAAGACACCAGGACGGGACAGUUGCUUUCUGCCCGGGUGCUUUGUAAGGCUCAGCUCCUCUUCCUGCGUAUUAAGUGAACGAUCCUUUCUUAUCUUCUCCCUCUUGGUGGCCGUCAGACUCCCACACGCCCUGUAUGCGUGGUGAGGAACGACAAAGUUGGACAUUGCCGCCUUCAUUCAUGAGCCGUGCUGCCGCCUGGCUUGUGUUGUGUGUGGCGUCUGUUGAUGUGUUGGUAUUCUACGUUUGGCGUGUGGCUGGGAAUGGUCUUGUUUUGUUGGUGGGCGUAAGUCUGCGAGAUUUGCAUUUGUGUUAUUGUAAUUUUUCUUUGCAUUGUAAAACCAAAACUGACAUGGCGCUGAAAAAUAUUGGCUCAUGACAGCGCUUACAGAUUUGGUGGAUGGAGAUCAUGUAAAAAGCAGCAUCAUGAAGUGAAGUGUUAGUGAACCCUGACUGAUCUUGGCCUUGAGAAGACCCGCCCGGUGAGUGUCGUCUCGCUGACGGACAGGCCCACCCUUCAGGCACGCUUCACACUCCCCAUUUCGUGCGCCCGUCUGGAGACAGUGUGCGUCACCAGUGACGUCAAAACGUGUCUGUCUAGUGUGAAGCGUGUACACAUGUGCAUCCAUGGGACGGGAGCACUGUUGCCAGUACUUAAGGAACAAUUAAUGAUAAAUUUUGAAUGAUUGAAAUAGUAUUGUUUAUUUCUAAUUUCUUCAUCAUUUAAGGCUUUUGAACUACAUAUAGUAUUAUCAGUAUAAUUCACCAUAGAUGUACAAGUGGCGGCAAUGUAUAGUGACAGGCAGACCCACGCGUCACCCCUCGCAUGGGUGACGCGUCGCUGACAGACAGACCCACCCCAUACCCUCGCACGCUGCCCGCCGUGGUGGGAUGCUGCAAGGAUUUUCCCUGGAGGGCUCUGAGGUGUGAGGCGGCACAUCCGGCGUGGCUGUUGAAGGGUUCAGGUGGCCAGUCCUGUCAUCACUUGGGAGACGCUCUGGCACCGUGAACCAGGGAAAAAUAAACUGUAUAUCGCCCUUGGUGUUGAGAGCAGUACUGAUACUUGAUCUUCAUUGUAGCUGUAAGGUGAUGACUGACCUCCCUGAGUUGUGUUACGUAACUGUUUUAGGUGUGGCUGCCUUUUAAUGUUAUUUGUGUUAGUUCAUCUUGUUCUAGUUUGUAUUGGGAGUUGCAUUGAACUAUAUUGCCUCAGUACAUUACGUGCGGUGCCAUGUGACCUCAUUGUUAUGGCGCCUUCAGUCAAUCAAUCAAUCUUGUCGGUGUGAAAUUUCCAGCUUUAUCCCCGGAAGUCUGAAAGUGUGAAUAGAUUGACGUCAUGAGUCUGCUGUGCGCUCUCUCUCUCUCUCUCUCUCUCUCUCUCUCUCUCUCUCUCUCUCUCUCUCUCUCUCUCUCUCUCUCUCUCUCUCUCUCUCUCUCUCUCUCUCUCUCUCUCUCUCUCUCUCUCUCUCUCUCUCUUUCUGGGUCAUGUAGGCUGCUGUGGAUGAUAAUGAUGAGGGUGUCAAUUCUUGCAUGUGACUCAGCUGAGGUCGUUUAUCUUAUCUUGCGUGGUGCGGUGGUCUGAUUCAUGGCUGCUGUAUAAUUGAUGGUGAUUUGCGCGGGGAAGUUUACCCCACGAGUGACACUCCCGCCCCUGAGCAACCACCUGUCACCCCGCGAGUUAUGGGCGCGUCAGGGCGUGGGAGCGGCGCGGCGUGACGCAGGGAAGGAGCGUGAUGUGGCUGAGACGCAUUCGUGGCGGGUAUCGCGACUUGUGGUGUGCACACACACACACACACACACACACACACACACACACACACACACGAGUACUACGUUAUAGUGUUUCAGGAUGGCUGUCAAGAAUAUAGCCUUGUAAGAAUCGCCAGAGAACAGUGUGUGUGUGUGUGUGUGUGUGUGUGUGUGUGUGUGUGUGUGUGUGUGUUAAACAAUAGUCUCUACAAAGCCUUUUAUAUAUUUCUGUAAAUAGCACGGGUGGUCGGGGUCUGGGUGUGCUUUCCCUCACGUGCUGUAGCGCCACGCACGGGCACGGUGUGGCUGCGUGGUUUACAUGCCAGUUCUCGGUGUUCCCUCUGCUCGGGCACCAGGUUAAGGGUUUUCUCGGGCCACGGUCGUCUUCUCAUCCCCUGGCCUGGCCUUGGCCCCUCGCUGUAGUGUUGCGAUAAUUGCCGCGUGAGUCAGCGAGUGACGCACCUUCUAAGUAGCUGGCGGGGAGUUGUGUGUCUCUACGAACCGCUGAUGGGCCCGCGUUACUUAUUUAAAGGCUACAGAAGUAUUUCGUGCUGCUGCUAGUAUUAGGGGAGGACGGAGUGCUGGCGUCGAGUGUCAGGCUGAUGCUUGAAGCUUCAAGAUGUGUGGAGGGAAAGUUUCAGAACUCAGGAAGAGUUUUGUGCUAACAACGCGGCGAGGGAGGAGCGGCGCUGGGUGGCGCGUGGCUGUUCAGGACAGUAUUGUGUGCCAAGUUGUCUUUAUGGAGGCGAGAAGAGUUGUAACGCGUGUGGCGUAGUGGCAAUGGUGUGUGGCUGGUGUUGUGUUGGCGGGAUCAGGCCAGGUGCGUCCCUGCCUUUCUAAAUCGAUGUACAGAGUGGCGGGCAGCGGCCAGGCAGGUGGUGGUCCCACCGGACUUGCCUUGGUCGAUAACAGCUUUUAUACUGUUUUGACUCCUGCUACGUCUCGCUGCCGACCGUCCUGCCACAUGCCACGUGCCCAGGCCUGAACGCCCAUCACGGGCAGGCGGGGCGGUGCAUGUCGCCCUCCUGGUGGCGCCAAUCCGCAUACAAGUGCCGCAAAUUAUGAUAUCGGCCGUCUUCAUUUUGACGAGCAAGUUAAUCAAAACAAAUAAGUAAAUAAAUACAAUUAAACUUUUCCUUGACGUAUGGUGUGUGCAGCCAGCUGGAGGCGGCGCGGUUCGUACCCAUAACACUCACCGCGGUAGGAUAUCGGUGAGAGGAGAGGCCGUGAGUCUUGGCUGCAGCCUCCCCACGCCUCUGGUUUGGAUGCCUGGAGGGGCAUGGGUCUCCAGGUACAGCCCCAGUGUUACGUGUUGUCUUAACCUUUCCCGCCACCAUACAGUACAGAUUUCUGUUGUGUGGUGAUCAUGAUGGUGAUUGGCACUACUACUACUACUACUACUACUACUACUACUACUACUACUACUACUACUACUACUACUACUACUACUACUACUACUACUGCUACUACCACCUGUUUCGUCGUCAUCAUCAUCAUCGUCACCACCACCACCACCACCACCACCACCACCACCACGCUCUGGGGCCCGGAAUGCCUAUACAUUGCACAAUGCCUUAAAAGCGCAAGUGUGGGGAGUGGGGCUGUACUACUUACCCGAGGUACGUAGAAAGUCGGGUCGGGAAAGAGUGGCCUGGAGGACCUUGCACCCCAGUGAGAGUCGGCACCGGGCACAAAAAAAGUGUUUCACUAUUUGGGUCACAAGCAGGAGCGUGACGACCCAUUGUCACCGGUGUCGCGAGGGCGCCCCACGCGGGCCCCACAAACCUUCAGGAACCUUGCCCCGCCCCGCCCCGCCCCGUUCCCUCCUGCUCCGCCCCACUCCACCCUCCACCCCGCCCCGCCCCGCCCCGCCCCGCCAUGAAUCCUGCGGUGCUGAUGACACAGGCCACCGAGCACCCAAAGCAAUGACACGCACUGUCACGUCCCGCCCUCAUAUUGUGUAGAUGCGUGACACGUGGCAGCCCACCCCCCGCCUCCCCGCUCUGCACCAAGGGAGGAGGCCCAUGUGUGUGUGUUCCAGGCAGCCUCCACGCGGGGUUGAGUCAGCCGGUACAGUUAGGGCGGGUGUCCCAGGCUCCCUCCAGUCUGGCCCGCCACUGGCCGCGAGGUGUUGCCGGCGCACAUCUGCAGUCCUGUGCUCCUCACCAUGACCCAGAUUGAGGCUCCUUCCUCAUAUUACCGAUCGAUGGCGGCGUAUUAAUGCCAGGAACACCACCCAGUCAUGCACGCAGAGGUGGAGGAAGGCGUGACGUCUGGCAACACCCGCAACACCACCAGGAGCACGUGAGGGCGUAGGUUGUAUAGAAGUACAUUGAGAGUGCCAGCCGUGCAGCGUCCCAGCCAAGCCUCCCGAGUAAAUUACACCUAGGCUGGCCAGGACAGUGACCGGCCUGGAGUCCCCCAGUGAGGCGGCUCCACUCAUUCUCCCAGCCGUACCGUUUUGGCCGCGUCAGACCGCAUUCCUCGCGUGUCGCCUGGCAGGCCGGACUCGCGGCGGGUCAUCUGAGGGCAGCAGGUUCAGGCACCGCUUACCUUUGUGUUCCCGCUGCGGCUGUCUGUCCCUCGCUGCGUCUUGGUUUCACUGCCGGCGUGGUAACGAGGCGCCAAGUGGAAGCAUAGAAAUUCACUGUGGAAAGUCUAUACCUAUUUAAAUAUAUGCCCUAUUUAUUGUCCUAGCCAUUUAUGUAUCCUUCCAACUGUCUAUCUCUAUGUAGCUUUACUUGUGCUAUUAAGCUUUCUAUGCAUCUACCUAUGUAUUGAUCUGUCUAUUCAUGUAUAUGGUUUUGUGCAAGGGAUUGAAAUGUGCAACUAAUGUGUUUUUCUCCCCGUCAGGUACGGCGCACGGAACAGACGGAGGCUGGGCCAUGCGGGCUUGGGGCCUGAGCCUGCCUGAGUGACCCUUGCCUCGCCAGCAUGCACGGUAUGUAUGAGUUGCCACUUCUUCCUCACCUGGGCUGCAUCACUCACCCAGACACCUGGCAACGGGCGGCAGCGUGAGCAUCCUCGGUGUAAGUGUUCUGAACAAAAAGAAAAAAAAGGCGAGGAAAAAAGUUGAGCGUAGGAUGCGGUGCUGCAUAAUUACGGCAUUAAUUAACCUAGCGUCCUUCCUUGGGUUCCUUCGUGUGGGGAGCACUGCGGUGUGUGGACGUUGCCGAGAACUGAGUAUUGUAACGGAUUGGUGCUAAUAGUAGUGGUUUGUAAUGUACUCUUCUGUUUUCUUUUUUAUUUAUUUAUUUUUUAUUUCAUUUUCUUAAUCGUGUUUGGACAGAAUCUCGAACUCUGGUGCAGUCAAUUUAACUUCCGCAUUGUUUGAGGUGUCAUGCAUUAUAAUUUGUGUGGAAGUUUUGAUGGUGAAAAACUGAAUUAACUAACAUGUGCGUGUUUCAGAAUGUGUGUGUGUGUGUGUGUGUGUGUGUGUGUGUGUGUGUGUGUGUGUGUGUGUGUGUGUGUGUGUGUUUUAGUGUGCAAGUAAUGUGAAAGGAAACUAAUCUCGAGAUAAAUAAUGCAAAAUAUUUAUAUUAGUAAUGGUCUGAAGUUGUUUUCCAUUCUGUUUUAAAUAUUGGCAACGAAAAAUUAUACGCUGAACUGACAAUCUAUAAUUUUAAUCUAUAAUUUUUUUUUUUUAUGUAGAAGUUUUUUUUUAUUAUUUUCAUGUAACAUCCAGACCAAGAUAAGUGCGUGGAUUGAGAAAUGUGCUGCGUCGCGUGAUGUCAAGACUAGACGCCGCUCAUUUACAGCACGUCGCGUACAGGUAAAGAGAACAUCACAGCGACAAAUUACCCUUUUAACUUUUAUCAAAGCCCUAAAGAGGCAGCGUGCGCUACACCAAACACACGAACCAUCUGCCUGCGCCUCCCGAGUAACUGUACAGCGUAGCGGGGCGUAAAGCGUGACCUCGGGAAGAAAAAGAAAGUGUUUUGGAAUGAUGCAGUGUAAACUAACCACUUCAGUAUACUCAGCACUCCCACUCGCUCUUUACCAACCACUGAUGUUGAACACCUGAACCGCCGUAACGAACCUCGCGGAAAGGAGCAUAGGCAACUUACGCCGAAUAUUCCUGCAUAGACUUGAACACACCUUGCUAAACUCCGUUAAUUCCUUACAACGGAAAGCCGCACCUCUCAACCAAGGACAUUACUGUACGUGUGUUACCCUCCCUUGACUGCCAAGAACAAUAUGACUUUCAUACUUCAAUUGAGUAACACUGGACGAUCUUACUGGGUAGAAAUAGAACAAGACACUGAACAAUAUGACUUUAUCUGAGUAAUCCUGGACGAUCUUUUGGGUAGAAAUAGACACUGAAGAUUUGAACUGCCCCAACAAUAUGACUUUUAUACUUAAUUUGAGUAACCCUGAUGAUCUCUCUGGGUAGAAGUAGAACCGGAGACACUGAAGGUUUGAAAUGCCCGAACCCUCCUGUUGCUGGCAGUGGUGUCUUGCGAAAUGAUACUUCAAAGUCACACCAGCCCGUCUUAUUGAGCUUGAAUAGACACCAUGGCAGAUACGGGAGUAAAAGUCCAUACACUGACCGGCGGUGGUUCUUUUCGUAACUCCUUUAUAUUUUGUAAGUUUUGUUGACGUGAAGAGCACUGUAGAAAAUCAAUUGCAUCGACACUGAAAAAAAGAGAGAUUAAAAGACUGAUUAUAUCUUUUCUAGCAAACAAAACUAAUGAAGAGACUAGUUCAGAAAUUUCCAAAAACUUGCAUGCGAUUAAAGGGAAAAUGAAUGUGAAGAUGAUGGUGCUGUGAAAGGGUUCAGGUUGGCAGCCAUGAACUUAGCCCUCCAUUGCGGGACUCACUCACGGCCCAGCCAACGUGCGUCUUGACACUUGACAGGUCCAUGAUUGAGGUGAAACUUGAUCCAGCCUUCAUCCUGUGCUUGCUGCGGGUGCUCGGCUGCUCCCUCCCUGCGUCCUGUUACUGCCGCCGAGUCAUGUUUUGUACCUCUUUUCUUCUAUUUUAUUAUUCACAUGUAUAUUUACGUAUUUGCUCAACGAUAAGACGUCUUUGCUGUUAACAUUUCCUGAUUUUUCCAGAACGAUGUACAAAUGGUUUGAGGUCCGAUCAUGAUUAGAUUAUUUGGUGUAACUAUACUAACAUGCACUAAGAAUGAUGCUAAAGAUAAACUAGUAACGUUAUAAGGGAAGAGAAAGAUUGCCAGUAUUAGUGGUGGGGGAGGAGCGUAUGAGUGCUUCCUGGUAUGGUAAUAUGGUGUGUGUAUUAUAGGUAGUGUGGACAGAGAGAGAGAGAGAGAGAGAGAGAGAGAGAGAGAGAGAGAGAGAGAGAGAGAGAGAGAGAGAGAGAGAGAGAGAGAGAGAGAGAGGAAAUAGUUCUAGGAAUCUGUAAUUGUAAUCGGAAAUUGUGACGAGUAUAGUUAUUACGCGAGCACAUCCAUCUAAGUGGUGGUGGUGGUGGUGAUGGUGGUGGCGGCUCGGAGUAACAGCCUCGGCGUUGCUGGCUCAUUGCUGAAGCUUCAUUCCACGCCUCACUCCGCGGUGUUUGCUUAACUGAUCGCAGGGCAGGCCGGGGGUUGAAGGUGGUGAGGGGAGAGCUGCGCAGAUUGUGUGUGUGUGUGUGUGUGUGUGUGUGUGUGUGUG